rnacentral:lncRNA from 1 species
GGCAUUGAAAGUUCGCUAGGCCGGACAGAUCGUCGUGUUUGAGUUACGGUCUCGUCACAAAAGAAUGUGAGAUAAAUCUGCCUGUAUCAAACGUUGCAAGACAAACAACGAAGCUGUAAGGAAUGAUAAUACACCGCUCAGGAGAAUGUCUCAUAUGUCAACUUGUGAAACUAUUACUGUAUCAUGCAAUAGUCCUUUUAGAUCUGUAAGGCAGACAACGCACAUAACACCUAAUCUAGUCAUUAAUUUCCAGAGUACAACUGCUUCUACUCCAUGUGGAUAAGAUGAGUUAAGAGUAUCACAUUUUUAAUGCAUUUUCAGCAUUCUGUGUAAGAAGGGAGCCUUAGAGCACCAGUCAACUUGUCGCCGUAUGACCUAUAGGUCACGGAUUCUAACCGUGAAUCAGCCACUAAUGUCUGCAACAGGGUAGGCUGCUAUAUCACACCCCCUUGAGGUGUGGAUCUUCCCCCAACUCUUGGUGAAUGCGGGAUGCUUUGUGCACCGGAUUGCCGCUUAGUAUUCUAUGCAAACACAGUGAUUGCACUUGGAAAUUAUAAAAUAACGCUCCAGAAAGUUCUCAAAGUUUCUUCUUCAACAACAUUAAUCAUCUAAUAUAGGAAAAACUAAGAACUUUCAAUUCUUGUCAUUUUAGUCUGUUAAAAUGGAACUAAAUCUACGCCGAAAUAGAGAUACAACAGCUAAAUUUUAGAACCAAGGCAAGAGAUCAGGUGUCAAGUUGCUGAAGAUGUAACAGAAACUGCAGGGAAAUAAAUAUUGUAAAAUUGUUGAGCAGUGGACUGAUAAAUAGUACUUUCAACCAUAGCUCGUGGCAAAGUAUGAAGGUGGAGGCAUGACGGGUACUUUUUCAAACGGCACAAACUCUGUUCCAUCAAUAUUUUAGAAAUUACAGUGACAUUUAUGCAGGCUAACAUGGAAACUACAAAGAGUAACUCUCACCUGCUUGAGCUAAACUAAAGUUUGAGACCAAAAUUUUCAACUAAAUCAUUAAUAUACCACACAAAGCUGCAUAAAACCUCCCAUUUCAAUAACUAUGUUCUUCAAAAGAAUGAGAGAAUAAAUCUGGGGAGAAAUCACUGAUAAAAAAAUGAAACUGUACAGAACUUGUUAGUUACUACUAAAAUAAUGUCAAACAAGUGGACGUGAAGAGUACACGAUAAAGAUUGGACCCAAGUUCCAAGUAGGAGAAGCUGCAUUUUUGGCUUAUCAGGACAACAUGUACAUGAGAGAUGCAUAGAUAAAAACAGAACUCUUCAUCAGCAUAAGGAGCCAAAAAAAUUAGGACACCCUAAAGAAAUACAACAACAACAACAACAACCCAGUAUAAUCCCACUUAGUGAGGUCUGGGGAGGGUAGUAUNNNN